rnacentral:rRNA from 1 species
GUAAGGAAUAUUGGACAAUGGUCGCAAGACUGAUCCAGCCAUGCCGCGUGCAGGAUGAAUGCCCUAUGGGUUGUAAACUGCUUUUAUACGGGAAUAAACCCCUCUACGUGUAGAGGGCUGAAUGUACCGUAAGAAUAAGGGUCGGCUAACUUCGUGCCAGCAGCCGCGGUAAGACGAAGGACCCAAGCGUUAUCCGGAUUCAUUGGGUUUAAAGGGUGCGUAGGCGGGUUGAUAAGUCAGUGGUGAAAGCCCAACGCUUAACGUUGGAACUGCCAUUGAUACUGUCGAUCUUGAAUGUGUUUGAUGUGGGCGGAAUAUGACAUGUAGCGGUGAAAUGCUUAGAUAUGUCAUAGAACACCGAUUGCGAAGGCAGCUCACAAAACCACUAUUGACGCUGAGGCACGAAAGCGUGGGGAUCAAACAGGAUUAGAAACCCUGGUAGUCC